GGGACAGUCUCCAGGCAGGCAGCAAGGGCACGCCCUCGCUGUCACUUCUGCUUGUGUCCAUGUACUGUGUAUCUGGAAAGGUAAAACAGACUGAAAUGUUCAAAAGACUGAGAGUCCGAGUCCAGCAUUCACUGUAGACCUUUCUCUGCCCUUCCCAGGAUGACUUUCUUCUGAUACACUAUGACAAGGGGCCCUGCCGCAACAAGCUGGGUCACUCCCGGGCAUCAGUGAUCUGGCAUCGGACACAGGUGGUGGGGAUUUUUGCUGGAUUUGGGCUCCUGCUCUUAGUGGCCUCCCCGUUCUUGCUCCUGGCCACACCCUUUGUACUUUGCUGCAAAUGCAAGUGCAGUAAAGGUGACGAUGACCCGUUGCCCACCUAGAGGACGGCAUGAUGCUGGAACAGACCCCUUCCUCGGGACGUGUGGCUCCCCUACCCCCUACCACCCCUCUCACUAAACAUGGUUUUUGCCUUAUGUGCCCCGUUGAGCUUCAGUGUCCGGCUCGCUGCAGAGAUUUCAGGGAUGAUGUCAGCGAGUGGGCAGAGGCCCAGGCGUGGUCUCCCGGGUGCUGC
rnacentral:lncRNA from 1 species